CUUACAGAUGGGCCCGCGUCGCAUUAGCUAGUUGGUAAGGUAACGGCUUACCAAGGCGACGAUGCGUAGCCGACCUGAGAGGGUGAUCGGCCACACUGGGACUGAGACACGGCCCAGACUCCUACGGGAGGCAGCAGUAGGGAAUCUUCCGCAAUGGACGAAAGUCUGACGGAGCAACGCCGCGUGAGUGAUGAAGGUUUUCGGAUCGUAAAGCUCUGUUGUUAGGGAAGAACAAGUGCCGUUUGAAUAAGGCGGCACCUUGACGGUACCUAACCAGAAAGCCACGGCUAACUACGUGCCAGCAGCCGCGGUAAUACGUAGGUGGCAAGCGUUGUCCGGAAUUAUUGGGCGUAAAGCGCGCGCAGGCGGUCUCUUAAGUCUGAUGUGAAAGCCCACGGCUCAACCGUGGAGGGUCAUUGGAAACUGGGAGACUUGAGUACAGAAGAGGAGAGUGGAAUUCCACGUGUAGCGGUGAAAUGCGUAGAUAUGUGGAGGAACACCAGUGGGGAAGGCGACUCUCUGGUCUGUAACUGACGCUGAGGCGCGAAAGCGUGGGGAGCAAACAGGAUUAGAUACCCUGGUAGUCCACGCCGUAAACGAUGAGUGCUAGGUGUUAGGGGUUUCGAUGCCCUUAGUGCCGAAGUUAACACAUUAAGCACUCCGCCUGGGGAGUACGACCGCAAGGUUGAAACUCAAAGGAAUUGACGGGGGCCCGCACAAGCAGUGGAGCAUGUGGUUUAAUUCGAAGCAACGCGAAGAACCUUACCAGGUCUUGACAUCCUUUGACCACUCUAGAGAUAGAGCUUUCCCCUUCGGGGGACAAAGUGACAGGUGGUGCAUGGUUGUCGUCAGCUCGUGUCGUGAGAUGUUGGGUUAAGUCCCGCAACGAGCGCAACCCUUGAUCUUAGUUGCCAGCAUUCAGUUGGGCACUCUAAGGUGACUGCCGGUGACAAACCGGAGGAAGGUGGGGAUGACGUCAAAUCAUCACGGCCCUU
rnacentral:rRNA from 1 species